CAGCCGCCGCGGUAAUACCGGCGGCCCGAGUGGCGGUCACUAUUAUUGGGCUUAAAGCGUCCGUAGCCGGGUUGGGAAGUCCUCCGGGAAAUCUGGCCGCUUAACGGUCAGAAUGCCGGAGGAUACUCCCAGCCUAGGGAGCGGGAGAGGCCGAGGGGAUUCCCGGAGUAGGGGGGAAAUCCUAUAAUCCCGGGAGGACCACCUGUGGCGAAGGCGCUCGGCUGGAACGCGUCCGACGGGGAGGGACGAAGGCCAGGGGAGCAAACCGGAUUAGAUACCCGGGUAGUCCUGGCUGUAAACGAUGCGGACUUUGUGUCGGACAAGCUAUGAGCUUGUCCGGUGCCGGAGGGAAACCGUUAAGUCCGCCGCCUGGGGAGUACGGCCGCAAGGCUGAAACUUAAAGGAAUUGGCGGG
rnacentral:rRNA from 1 species